rnacentral:rRNA from 1 species
UGGGGAAUAUUGGACAAUGGGCGCAAGCCUGAUCCAGCCAUGCCGCGUGAGUGAUGAAGGCCCUAGGGUUGUAAAGCUCUUUCACCGGUGAAGAUAAUGACGGUAACCGGAGAAGAAGCCCCGGCUAACUUCGUGCCAGCAGCCGCGGUAAUACGAAGGGGGCUAGCGUUGUUCGGAUUUACUGGGCGUAAAGCGCACGUAGGCGGACUUUUAAGUCAGGGGUGAAAUCCCGGGGCUCAACCCCGGAACUGCCUUUGAUACUGGAAGUCUUGAGUAUGGUAGAGGUGAGUGGAAUUCCGAGUGUAGAGGUGAAAUUCGUAGAUAUUCGGAGGAACACCAGUGGCGAAGGCGGCUCACUGGACCAUUACUGACGCUGAGGUGCGAAAGCGUGGGGAGCAAACAGGUUAGAUACCCUGGUAGUCCACGCCGUAAACGAUGAAUGUUAGCCGUUGGGGAGUUUACUCUUCGGUGGCGCAGCUAACGCAUUAAACAUUCCGCCUGGGGAGUACGGUCGCAAGAUUAAAACUUAAAGGAAUUGACGGGGAUCAUAGCUGUUUCC